CCUACGGGGGGCUGCAGUGGGGAAUUUUGGACAAUGGGGGCAACCCUGAUCCAGCCAUGCCGCGUGUGUGAAGAAGGCCCUCGGGUUGUAAAGCACUUUCAGUGAGGAAGAACGCCUGGUGGUUAAUACCCAUCAGGAAAGACAUCACUCACAGAAGAAGCACCGGCUAACUCCGUGCCAGCAGCCGCGGUAAUACGGAGGGUGCGAGCGUUAAUCGGAAUUACUGGGCGUAAAGCGCGCGUAGGUGGCUUGAUAAGCCGGUUGUGAAAGCCCCGGGCUCAACCUGGGAACGGCAUCCGGAACUGUCAAGCUAGAGUGCAGGAGAGGAAGGUAGAAUUCCCGGUGUAGCGGUGAAAUGCGUAGAGAUCGGGAGGAAUACCAGUGGCGAAGGCGGCCUUCUGGACUGACACUGACACUGAGGUGCGAAAGCGUGGGUAGCAAACAGGAUUAGAUACCCCAGUAGUC
rnacentral:rRNA from 1 species